GGUCAGGCGGGACUACCCGCUGAAUUUAAGC
rnacentral:rRNA from 3 species